rnacentral:rRNA from 1 species
GACGAACGCUGGCGGCGUGCUUAAUACAUGCAAGUCGAACGAGUGGCGAACGGGUGAGUAACACGUGGGUAACCUCCCCACAGAGGGGGAUAACUACUGGAAACGGUAGCUAAUACCGCAUACCAUCGGAUUUGCCAAGAUGGGAUUGGCUGGUAGUGGGUGUAACGGCUCACCUAGGCGACCAGCCCUAGCUGGUCUGAGAGGAGGACCAGCCACACGGGAACUGAGAACAGGUCCAGACUCCUACGGGAGGCAGCAGUGGGGAAUAUUGCACAAUGGGCGCAAGCCUGCUGCAGCCAUGCCGCGUGUAUGAAGAAGGCCUUCGGGUUGUAAAGUACUUUCAGCGAGGCGGCGUUACUCGAAGAAGAAGCACCGGCUAACUCCGUGCCAGCAGCCGCGGUAAUAC